AUUCAUCUUCCCAAAGAAGAGAUUUGAGCAAUGAACCCUAGAAUCUGGUGAUUAGAAGGGACGGUAUGGACAGCCAGCCUCACCCUGAAGCUGGGCACCUGUGUGAAGUGUCUGGAUGCUUCCCAUGGAGACUUUCUCAACAUAGGACCCUUGACCCACCUGCUUGAGGGUCGCCUGCGAUCUCGUCAAAAUGUACAUUCUACGUCCGCACCCCUGUUCCACUAACUUGGACGCUUGACCAUCAGCAUUUAAUCAGGAGAGUCCUCCGUGGCCCAAAAUAAGGGGAAAAUAGCACAAGGCAGUCCAUUUCAUCCUGGGAAACUCAUUGUUAGAAAGAUACUGGAACGUUAUACUCAAAAAUUAAACAACAACCAGAAUAGAGAUAGAAAGAAAAAUCGAAACAGCUGAGCCCCCGUCUCACUCCUGGCCACAGGCUGUGGCCUUGCAAUCUCUGUGGUCCUGCAGCCUGUGGGCCGAGUUGCCCUUGGGUCCUGUGGUCCACGCGCUGCUGUAACAAAGCUUGAUGCCUUGGCAACGAAGAGCCGUAUGUCAGAGACUGCUGCUGCCUUUCUUCCAGUUUAAUCUGAAAAGAUCAACUCUGGUGAGUGAACCCUUGACCUUUCUUUGGGCUGGAGGCCCUUGCGCUGCUCUGUGCUGCCGUCACAGGGUGCAGUACUUGUGGGCAUGUUCCUGGAACGCCUGGGAGUGGUUUGCGUGGAUGGAGGGGACGCUGUGGGAGCGUCACCGUGCUUCCAGCUCUUCCCUUCACUGUGAGGGGUCACCUCCCUGUCUCAACAGGCCCCCAACUCAGACUUCGCUUGUUUCCACAUGGAGAGAUUCUCUAUCCUCGCUUGCCCUUGGCUCAAAGUUGACGAUGAAGCAGCUUGGAGGCUUUUCUGAUUCCACAGUGAUCUCACAGUUGUUGAGAGCGACAAGCAGCCCAAGUGUGGUUUCCCGUGAAUGGAGCGUAGUGGGAGCAGCUGCCACGUCUAACUCUGGCUCCGGUUGCAGCUUGGAGCCUCGGCGCAGAAGCUCAGUCAGGAGGCUGAUGAGAGGCCUCACGAGCUGGGACUUCCUGUGUCAAAUGAUUGUGUUUCAAGUUGUUUUGCUUCUGCUCCACUUUCUUAAUCAAGUUGAUGCUGUGGGUAUUUUGGGUUCUAUGGGCAUGCGGCUGUGAAUAGAUGCACACUCCUCCAGUUCUCAAAGAUUUUCGUGUUUCUUUGUGAAAAUACAUGACAGUCACCAGGCACAUUUGAAAGCAAUGACUUGUCUUGCGAGCAGAGAAAGAUUUGCUCGGAAUAGAACCUGCUCACCGGCCUCCCACUUCGGAGAAUGGGCACCCAAGGACAGCAAGACCUUGACUUCAUAUCAUUCAUGUUGAGGUGCUUCUGGUGGGCAGAAUUUUCGAAUGAUUUCAAUAGUCUAAGUAUAAUCACCUUCUUCUAUUAAGCAUUUUUUAAUACAAAAUUAUCCUAAAUUAUUUUCCCUGUUUUCUUAUCUUAGGAGAAGACAGUUUUGGUCAAAAUACAAUGCUUGAGUAACUCCAGUGUUAUUUCGAUCACUGGCUGUAACCUGGAGCAUGUCCUGCGUGGGCCCCUCCCUCUGGGCUUCUGCCCCGGCACCACCCCUGUUCUCUUAGAAGCGCAGAUGCUACUCCACACCACCCACUGCUAUUUAGGAAAAUUAAGGGAGAUAAAACCUGCUAAGCUGGUAACCCUCAUCUUACUAAUUUAUUACUGUCUAGUAAAGAUGGCAGCUGCAUUUUUAAAACCAACGUUAAAACUAAUGUUUUGUUCCCAAAAAGUUGGCAUUGCCUGAAUUGGCACUACCAAAACAAAUGAGGGAUAUUGCCAAGCAAGUAACACCCCCGACAGGAAGAUCCCAGACUAAGCAUCUCAGGAUUGCCCAUUGGUUGCUGCCAGGCACACAGGCCCUAGGUCAGGAGCCCGGAGCAGGAACAAGCCAGCAGACAGCCCACUGUCACAGUGGGGGAUGAAGGCUGCCCCGACCCAGGUCUGCAGCUGUCCGCCAUUCCAUUGCUAGUUGAAAUGCAGUCUAUUUUUCUUUUUCUGUGUCAAUUUUGCUAUCUGUUAUACAAGGAGACUCAACCAGUCCAUCCUAAAGGAGAUCAGUCCUGGGUGCUCGUUGGGAGGACUGAUGCUGAAGCUGAAACUCCAAUACUUUGGCCACCUCAUGUGAAGAGUUGACUCAAAAGACCCUGACGCUGGGAGAGAUUGGGGACAGGAGAAGGGGACAACAGAGGAUGAGAUGGCUGGAUGGCAUCACUGACUCGAUGGACAUGAGUUUGGGUAAACUCUGGGAGUUGGUGAUAGAUAAGGAGGCCUGCUGUGAUUCCUGGGGUCGCAGAGUCAGACACGACUGAGCGACUGAACUGAACUGAACUGAACUGAACUGAUGCACAGGUAAGUAACAUAGAAUCUCUGUUAACCCCUAAAGACACGUGGCGAGAGCUGGGUAGAUUUUCACUAAGUUAAUGGUGUGACUUUUGAGAGUCAUGACGACAAAAGCGUUGCAGGCCGAAGUGUCAGGAACACGCUGAGAAGACGUGGGGUGUCCCACAAAGAACCUGCGUUUCAUCCUCCUGGGAGCCUGAGACAAAGAGACACGUGGUCCCCACGUGCUCAGGGGGCUGUGCUGAGCCCAGAGAAGGAAACGUGGAGAAUAGCUUUGGUCAGACCUACAGCCGUGGAGAAGCAUCUGUCUGCGGGGCGAGGCGCAGAGAAAACAGACAUGGGCCCGACGGAGCAGAACUGCAGGCACAGCCGCUGCAAGACUUGGCUCAGGGAGCGCCCCUCCCCCGGGC
ensembl:lincRNA